rnacentral:lncRNA from 1 species
CGAAAUCGAUGCCCCUGAGGUCCUGGAGCUUUCCGAAUCCCGGUGGAAUGGGGCCGGAGAGGGAGUUGUUGUAGAGCUCGAUCUGGAUGGCGCUGGUGAGGCCGGUAAUCUCCGGCGGUAUGGGGCCGGUGAGCGCGUUGGUGGAGAGGUCGAGGUCGGUGAGGUUGGUGAGGCGGCCGAGCGAGGGCGGGAUGGCGCCGACGAGGUUGCAUCCGGCGAGCCAGAGCACGCGCAGCGCGGAGAGGUCGCCGAGCCGGGGCGGCAGGGGGCCAGGGGCGAAGGGGUUGUAGGAGAGGUUGAGCUCCCGGAGCGUGGCGACGGCGCCGAGGAAGCCUGGGACUUCGCCACCGAGCAGGUUGUAGACGAGGGAGAGCGACUGGAGCUUGGCGAAGC